AAAGGAAUAGACGGGGACCCGCACAAGUAGCGGAGCAUGUGGUUUAAUUCGAAGCAACGCGAAGAACCUUACCUAAGCUUGACAUGGGGAUGAAAAGUACUGUAAAAGUAUAAUACACUUCGGUGACAUCCCACACAGGUGGUGCAUGGUUGUCGUCAGCUCGUGUCGUGAGAUGUUGGGUUAAGUCCCGCAACGAGCGCAACCCCUAUUACUAGUUGCCAUCAUUAAGUUGGGCACUCUAGAAAGACAGUUAGGGAUAACCUAAAGGAAGGUGGGGAUGACGUCAAAUCAUCAUGCCCCUUAUGCUUAGGGCUACACACGUGCUACAAUGGCUAUAACAAACAGAAGCGAAAUCGUGAGAUCAAGCAAACCUGAGAAAAAUAGUCCAAGUUCGGAUUGCAGGCUGAAACCCGCCUACAUGAAGCCGGAGUUACUAGUAAUCGCGAAUCAGAAUGUCGCGGUGAAUGCGUUCCCGGGUCUUGUACACACCGCCCGU
rnacentral:rRNA from 1 species